rnacentral:rRNA from 1 species
GACGAACGCUGGCGGCGUGCUUAACACAUGCAAGUCGAACGGAAAGGCCCUGCUUUUGUGGGGUGCUCGAGUGGCGAACGGGUGAGUAACACGUGAGUAACCUGCCCUUGACUUUGGGAUAACUUCAGGAAACUGGGGCUAAUACCGGAUAGGAGCUCCUGCUGCAUGGUGGGGGUUGGAAAGUUUCGGCGGUUGGGGAUGGACUCGCGGCUUAUCAGCUUGUUGGUGGGGUAGUGGCUUACCAAGGCUUUGACGGGUAGCCGGCCUGGGAGGGUGACCGGCCACAUUGGGACUGCGAUACGGCCCAGACUCCUACGGGAGGCAACAGUGGGGAAUAUUGCACAAUGGGCGGAAGCCUGAUGCAGCAACGCCGCGUGCGGGAUGACGGCCUUCGGGUUGUAAACCGCUUUCGCCUGUGACGAAGCGUGAGUGACGGUAAUGGGUAAAGAAGCACCGGCUAACUACGUG